GGGGGCAACCCUGAACCAGCCAUGCCGCGUGCAGGACGACUGCCCUAUGGGUUGUAAACUGCUUUUGUUAGGGAAUAAACCCCGCUACGUGUAGCGGGCUGAAUGUACCUAAAGAAUAAGGAUCGGCUAACUCCGUGCCAGCAGCCGCGGUAAUACGGAGGAUCCGAGCGUUAUCCGGAUUUAUUGGGUUUAAAGGGUGCGUAGGCGGCACUUUAAGUCAGGGGUGAAAGACGGCAGCUCAACUGUCGCAGUGCCCUUGAUACUGAAGUGCUUGAAUGCGGUUGAAGACGGCGGAAUGAGACAAGUAGCGGUGAAAUGCAUAGAUAUGUCUCAGAACACCGAUUGCGAAGGCAGCUGUCUAAGCCGUUAUUGACGCUGAUGCACGAAAGCGUGGGGAUCGAACAGGAUUAGAUACCCUGGUAGUCCACGCCCUAAACGAUGAUACUCGAUGUUUGCGAUAUACCGUAAGCGUCCAAGCGAAAGCGUUAAGUCAUCCACCUGG
rnacentral:rRNA from 1 species